GACGAACGCUGGCGGCGUGCUUAAUACAUGCAAGUCGAACGGACAGGCGCUGAUCUUGCGGGGCUGUCGAGAGGCGAAGGGGUGUGUAUAACGCGUGUAUCAUGUACUUAACUUAGGGAUAUAUCUUGGAGAAUGGGGAUCUUAUAGGAUAGGAGCUAUUGAUGCAUGGUGGGGGAUGGUGAGAUACGGCGGUUGGGGCUCGUAUAGCGGGUCAUGAGCUAGUUGGUAAGGUUGUGGGUUACCAAGCUAUUGACGGGUAGCAGACCUGAGAGGGGGAUCGGACACACUGGAACUGAGACACGGUCCAGACUCCUACGGGAGGCAGCAGUAGGGAAUCUUGCGCAAUGGGCGAAAGCCUGACGGAGCAACGCCGCGUGAGUGAUGACGGUCUUCGGAUCGUAAAACUCUGUUAUUAGGGAAGAACAAAUGUGUAAGUAACUAUGCACGUCUCGACGGUACCUAAUCAGAAAGCCACGGCUAACUACGUG
rnacentral:rRNA from 1 species